CCACACUUCCUCUCUUUAUUCCUCCCCGGAUGUAAUUUCUCUCACGUCCUCACACAUCUCCAUCCUUGGUUCGUCGCAGUCACAGCCAUCGCCGAUCUCAUCUUGCUUUCCUCUUUUAAUUGAAGAUCUGAACAAAGCAAUGGCUCCCUGUCGUUCAUAGAUCCGAACGAUAUUUAUUUUCUCCCUCACGCAAUCGAGCAAUAAUCCAUAUAUUGGGAAAUCUGAAAAGGUACACAAAAAGGAAACCAGGUGAUACGAGACUAUAAGAUCAAUAUUAUCUUGGUUUAAACAACUCAAAAAAACUGAAGUUUUUUGUAGUUUUCAGUGUAUGAUGUCCAUGUUGGAGACUCAACAAGUAUACUCCACAUAGCACGAAAGGAUUUCUACUCAGCUUUCAAUGGGAUUAGCGCCUUACAAUGCUUUCUAAUAUUUUCGGUAAUGUGCCAUCGACAAAGUAAGUGAGUUGCAUAAGGGAAAACUUGUUGGCAUGCAUUCACCAAUGCCAAUUCUCUGUCCGUCAUUAUAACGCGUGGUUGCAUGCACUUUUCUAGUGUCAACCUUAGACACAUUAACACCCACUUAUAACUUUCCUCCUUUUCAUUAAUGAUAAAGGCAAAAGCAAUGCUAAAUGUCUUGUUGGUUGAAGUUACUCCAACAAUCUCAACAAAAGGCAUAGCAUAUUUGUUUGUUUUGUAUGUUGCAUCAAUAAUCAAAACGUGUGGAAAUGCUUGCCAUAUAUCUAACGAAAGAGGAUGAAUGAAAAACAGGUUUUCCAAUUCA